rnacentral:rRNA from 1 species
GGUUAAGUGACUAAGCGUACACGGUGGAUGCCUAGGCAGUCAGAGGCGAUGAAGGGCGUGCUAAUCUGCGAAAAGCGUCGGUAAGGUGAUAUGAACCGUUACAACCGGCGAUACCCGAAUGGGGAAACCCAGUGUGUUUCGACACACUAUCAUGUCAUGAAUACAUAGUGGCAUGAGGCGAACCGGGGGAACUGAAACAUCUAAGUACCCCGAGGAAAAGAAAUCAACCGAGAUUCCCCCAGUAGCGGCGAGCGAACGGGGAGGAGCCCAGAACCUGAAUCGGCUUGUGUGUUAGUGGAAGCGUCUGGAAAGUCGCGCAGCAAAGGGUGAUAGCCCCGUACACUAAAAUGCACAGGUCGUGAGUUCGAUGAGUAGGGCGGGACACGUGACAUCCUGUCUGAAUAUGGGGGGACCAUCCUCCAAGGCUAAAUACUCCUGACUGACCGAUAGUGAACCAGUACCGUGAGGGAAAGGCGAAAAGAACCCCGGCGAGGGGAGUGAAAUAGAACCUGAAACCGUGUACGUACAAGCAGUGGGAGCACCUUCGUGGUGUGACUGCGUACCUUUUGUAUAAUGGGUCAGCGACUUAUAUUUUGUAGCAAGGUUAACCGUAUAGGGGAGCCGUAGGGAAACCGAGUCUUAACUGGGCGAAUAGUUGCAA